rnacentral:tRNA from 4 species
GGGCCGGUAGAUCAGUUGGAAGAUCACUCCCUUGGCAUGGGAGAGGCCAGGGGUUCAAAUCCCCUCCGGUCCA